GUAAGUUCCGACCUGCACGAAUGGUGUAAUGAUCUGGACGCUGUCUCAACCAUGAGCUCAGUGAAAUUGUAGUAUCGGUGAAGAUGCCGAUUACCCGCGAUGGGACGAAAAGACCCCGUGAACCUUUACUACAGCUUAGCAUUGACCUUGGUCAUCCGAUGUGUAGGAUAGGCCGGAGGCUUCGAAGCGGGUGCGCCAGCAUUCGUGGAGCCAUCCUUGAAAUAC
rnacentral:rRNA from 1 species